AAAUGUGCUCACCCUGAAUUCUCUUGCAUUAAAAUGGAAGAAAAGAGAGCCCCGAGUAUUCAGCUGAGCUACCCUGUCAGUCCUUGGGGUUUGGAAUCCUAUUAGAGGUGUCUUUACAGUUUCACAUUAACUGCAACCAUUUCAAGAGCUCUCCAGAGAUUUUCUCCUGACCACUGCUCCCCUCAGUCUCUACUCCCCGCAAUAUAACUCUUAAGUGACUUUUCAAAGUUUUUACAUUUCUCAGUCCUCUUUUUUUUAAAACAUCACUGAAGGUAUUUUUGAAGAAUUAAUGGGAUAUUGUAUUCCUGGGAGAAAAUGACCUAGUCAUCUAAACUAGUAGAAGUGAAGGCUUGUUAAAGAAACCUGGUUUACUUUCCUGACUUAAGAACCGAAGUUGCAGACUCCUGGGUUUCCGGUUUGUCACUCUAGGGGCAUGUGACCUCACUCCUCUUUAAGAAUCAAACAUUGAUAUUAACUGAUGAUUGCAACACAGUUGGACCAGUGCUCUAAUAGAACUCUGAGCAGAGAGCUUGAGCACACCAAGGAGUAAGAGGUGUACUGAGGACAACUGACACGGUAAAGACGACGUUUGAACCAAACUAGGUUCAUUCCUCCAGGACAAGCUCUGCAUUUUGUUUGAGCUAAAGAAACAAAGUUUUCAGACUUGCAAAUCAAAACUCAACUAUGAUAUCUGAUGCAGUUUUCCUCGUCUUCAGAGAGUCAUCAAAGCAUUAUGAUCAGAUGUACAAGAUGACGGAACAAAGCCAGAAAGUUUCUGUGAGUUCUCAGAUGUGAACAAAGAGAGAAAUCAAAAUCUUUUUUUCUCUGCGGUCUUACUCCGAGUUAGAAGAGAUGGAUGAUGUUCAGCUUUUCACCUAAGAUCGUGAACUCCCCUCUUCUUCAUUUUCUUCCUCUACCUAUUGGUCAUCAUUAGUGUGCUUCACCUUUGACUGCAGGGCAGAGUGGUGCCAAACCUCCUCCAUUAAUCAACCAGCAGAUGGAGAAUUAAAGCCUAUGAAACUGAAAAGCUGGAAUUCUUUCUUUCUGUCCCCUGAGAUUUAUGAACAGUACCCAGAGGCCGGAGUUAUUGAGAGAUGAUCGUGUGCUAAUAAGCUUUAGAAAUGGUGGCUCUUCGUGUGUGUGUGUGUGUGUGUGUGUUUGUGUAU
rnacentral:lncRNA from 13 species